CAUAUAUUAAAUUUAUGCAUAACAGUCAAUACCGGUAAUUAAUAGCCUUAAGAGAAUAUCAUCUGUUGAUAAGAGUAGUUAUACUCCGCAUUGUCGGUGGUGUUGUAGUAUAAAUUGCAUAGAUGCACUUUCAAUUAGAACAUUGCAACUACUCAUUGGUAGUAAUCUAGAUCUAUAGAAAUUGAAUAAAUAACUUUUUCGUCUGUAAUAUCAAAACACUCUCUAGAAAAUAAAUAAUACAGGAAUUGAAACCAAUUUAUGAAAGUUCUAACAAAUUAAACUAUGUCUACACGAUUCAGUCAAUGGUCUUUUACUUCGAACCACACGAAAGCAAACAUUUUAAAAGUAAAGGUUGUUUUAGGGCACUAAAUUUGUUAUAUGAUUUUGGUAUCGAAAUCUAUUAGCUCAAUACGUUGUAUGCAAAAAAGUGCUUCUACUGUGAUUGAAAGUCAAUUCC